rnacentral:rRNA from 1 species
UACGUAGGGGGCAAGCGUUGUCCGGAAUCAUUGGGCGUAAAGAGCGUGUAGGCGGCUCGAUAAGUCUGCUGUGAAAGUCCAGGGCUCAACCCUGGAAGGCCGGUGGAAACUGUCGGGCUAGAGUCCGGAAGAGGCGAGUGGAAUUCCCGGUGUAGCGGUGAAAUGCGCAGAUAUCGGGAGGAACACCAAUGGCGAAGGCAGCUCGCUGGGACGGUACUGACUGCUGAG